rnacentral:lncRNA from 1 species
AUUACCCUCGCCUCUCCUAUUAGUCUAACAAAAUUAUGGGAGAGGAGGGGAUGCUUGAGGAGAAAACAUUGAUAAUUUUAAGGCAUAUGCAUAAGUUUCUGGGAUGAAAACAAUCAAUUUACUCCACUAAUAGUAUCCAGUUUCUAAGCCUGCGGAGAAAAACCACCAACAGCAACAACAAAAACCCAGCUGCUUUUCCGAGUACUGAAUUAAGAAAGUAAAACAUUGGUUCCGAUUGCCAUUAGAGGGCGCCAGAGAGCAAGUCCCAUCACCUCUCGCACAACUUCCCACCGAAGCCCUCCUAGCUCCCAGCUCCGCCAUGCUCUGUGAUUCCUUCUCUCAGGCCCUGCAAUGCCCUGUGCUUUUUCUUCAACUUUGAGACCAGUGAUCUUAUCAAGUUGCCAAAAUGAAUUGAGGUUUUUCAGCAAUGCAGCCAUUAUAAAUUAUUCAAAUACAGUUUCUGGACAGAGGCAUAUAGAGUCUAGUCUGUGGACGUCUCAGAAUUUGAAACCUGCUGGCCCAGACGAUGCUGAUGGGGUAUAUCCAAUGGGCGUUCAUGCUAACAACCUAGCUGGGCGCACAGAAAACCAGCAAUGGGGUCUUGAUUGAACAGGCAGCUUGUCACAAAGACCUCAAGACGUUUUCCACCCAGGCAACAUCAGGAAAUGGAAUCAAGACAAUUCUCAGGAUUAAAGGUAUUUAUUAGGAAUGUCCGCUCCUUUUAUGAAUUCUCUACCUACCUGCCUCCCACUUACCCUUCAGGAAUCAGUGUAAGUGACUUUAUUAUUUCUUCCCUGAGAAGUUUUGCCUGACCUUCUGUGUUAGGUCAUGUCCCCUUGUUACAUGCUUUUUUAGUAAGUCCCCGCAAUUUUCCUUUGCAGCACUCAAUUUGACUCUGAUUAAAUACUCAAUUACAUCAUUAAUGCUUUCAUAUCAGCCUCUUCAGGUAGAAUGUUAG